rfam:Triticum aestivum genome assembly, contig: Triticum_aestivum_CS42_TGACv1_scaffold_133204_2BL
GUCUUACCAUGGGUUCCCCACAAGCACUUCACGAGGCAGUAUUUGAAAGACCACUGUGAAGUGUUUGGGGGAACUCUUGGUACCAC